AUUGAACGCUGGCGUCAGGCUUAACACAUGCAAGUCGAACGAGUGGCGGCCGGGUGAGUAAUGCUUGGGAAUCUGGCUUAUGGAGGGGGAUAACUACUGGAAACUGUCGCUAAUACCGCGUACCAUAAGAUGAGCCCAUGUGGGAUUAGGUAGUGGGUGGGGUAAAGGCCUACCAAGCUUACGAUCCCUAGCUGGUCUGAGAGGAUGACCAGCCAGCCCGGGACUGAGGGACGGCCCGGACUCCUACGUUAUGCAGCAGUGGGGAAUAUUGCGCAGUGGGGGCAAGCCUGACGCAGCCAUGCCGCGUGAAUGAAGAAGGCCGGCGGGUUGUAAAGUUCUUUCGGUAUUGAGGCGUUAUAUACAGAAGAAGCACCGGCUAACUCCGUGCCAGCAGCCGCGGUAAUAC
rnacentral:rRNA from 1 species